UUCUUUUUAACUAUUUAAUUAAGAUUUUAAUUGAAUACUAAUAUUCUAGCUUAUUUACAUUUUAGCUCAAAGUGUAAUUUUAUUAUAGUAUGGUUGUUACUAAUUAAGCCCAAUAUGUCCUAUCCUAUGGCAAUGUGUCAAAUCAAAGGGUUGCCAACCAACUCAUUCUUCCUUUCCCUUGCCAAGUGUUACUUGAGGGAGGUGAAUUAUCAAGUAAAUUUUUGAAAUCAAAUUCCAGGAAUAUUAGGAGACCCUUUGUCCUCUUUCAUUACUCUCUUGGUCCCCCUCUUACCCGAUUCUCUCUCCUCUACCCGAUCUCCCUCUUCGUCUCUACCAGCCACCCACAAUACCGCCGCACCGCCGCACCGCCGCACCGCACCACCGUUUCCCUGUCUUCCCUUCUCGCCGGUCGCAGCUGGCGCGGCUUUUGUUACGCAGUGUCGGACUGCACUGUUAUCUCUCUGAUCUUUGGUUGGCCUCGUUGUACCGUCGCCGCCAAGAGUGGUUACGGUUCCACCACCAUCUACACUUCCUCUCUAAUUGAUAAUUUCUCUUACCCUUUAUCAAUUAAUUGUGUGAACUGAAUUCAAACCCCCAAUUUUAACAAACCCUAACUUUUUGAUUUUCUCUCUUUUGUUGGUUGUGCUGCCCUUUCUGGUCGCCGGUGCGACGGUUCCCCGUCGUCGCGUUUUGUCGUUGGUUACCGGUGUACUCGUUGCUCUGCUCGCUUCCCCUGCUCUCCCUUGCCUUCGUCUCAUCCUCCCUUGUCAGAGCUGCUACUGCUGCGGUGGUUGUUGUUGUUAUUGUUGGCUGCUGCUUCUUGUUGUUGUUGAUGUUGCUACUCAACUUCCUCUUGUGGUGAAUUAUUGGAGGAUGAUUAAGGAGAUAAAAUUGUGGAGUUAAGCGGAGAUUGAUGAUCGAAUAUAUAACUAUGGGAAUUUAUGUGUUAGAGAUUACAGAGUUAAAAUGUUUUGCAGGUAGCAAGACUUAGGUCUCAGUUUAGAUUCAAGGUUCGUAGAGUUCUCAAAUGGCCUUAUGUGUACAAGGUUGGAUUGUGGAUUCGUUAAAUGUAAUUUAGUUCAUAGAGUUUGUUAAAGGGCUAUAUAAUUUCUCCUUAAAGCUUUUUAGUUUAUAAUUUGUGGGUUAUAUACCUGUAUUGGAGUCGUAGUUAAGUUAAGUUUCUUUGGUUUAAAGUUAAAUGUGCUUAGAAGUAGCUCAUUCAGUGUGGGCUGUUAUAGUGACACCCUGGUGAUGUUUUGGGAUAUGUUAUAUAUUUGGAAUGAUGUCAUUAAAGUAGGUGAAAGAGAAUCUGACGUAAUUUCCUAAAUAUUAUUUUAGGUUGUCCAUAUUUAGGGGAAGUGCUGCCAAAAUUUUUAAUAAUUAAUUAAGUUUAUGGGUCUUGAUUAGUGUCUUUGAGAUAGGCUAAACCGUGUUUAAAUCCUUGCAGUUGUUUGAAGGAUUAAAGUUUGUUUAGCAGGGUUUAAAGAUCUAAUUAUAUUAAGUUUGUUUGAAUUGAGACUAAGUGUGUUUAGAAAGCAGCUCGUUAAGUGCGGGUUGUUACAGGUGGUAUCAGAGCCGAGGUUGAUUUUGGGUUUGCUAUGAUCCUCAUAUCGUGGCAUAUGAUUUGGGAAUUAUAUAUUGGGUCGAUUAAGUGUUAAAGGAAUGUAUGAUUUACGUUUUUAAUGAAUCGCUGGUAGUUGUGAUGUCAAGUAUAGAGAGUUUGACAUUUGUAAGGAAAUGAUAUAUUGGAAUUGUAAAGCUUUGAGGUUUGAGUAAUGAAAUGGAGGAAUAAGAAUGCAUAACUCGAAUCUAUUGUCUGUUUGAAUUAUGGGAAGUCAUGCUCUGAAAAUUCAAAACCUAGGGAUUUUGAUUUCUGGAUCUCGAAGUAUUAUAUUGAAAAUAUGAAAUGGAACUUGAGUAGUACUCGGAAACGAGAGUUAGAAUGAUGAGUUUGGCCCGUGAAAUGGUCAUUGUAGAUUUAAGGUUGACAGAGAGUUAUCAUUUGAAAAUUAUGUAUACUAUGAAGUUUUCGCGUAUUGAUUUGGUAUUGUGAUAGGAACUAUUGAUAAUUAAAAUCGAAAUUAUAGUACGAGUUGAAGGAUUAGUUAAAUGUUUGGUUUUUUGAGCUGAGGAAUAGAAUAUUUAGUUUGUUUACUUGUUUAUUUGUUUAUUGUUUACUUGCCAUGUGUUUGUACGUCUUUUGGUUGUUUGUUUCAAUUAUUCAGAUGUAAAAGUAAGUAUAAAUUGAUCGAAUUUAAGAAAUUUAAGUCAUGGAGAUACAAGGUGGGUAUUGGAAUUAGAGAAAUAGUAUUAGUUGUAAUGGAUAGAGGUGUUGAUCCAUGUGUGCGAGUCUAAUAUAUACUUGUCAUUGUCUUAAUAGUGACUCUAUGAUUCCUUUUGAAUUUCUUUGAAAUAAUCUUUUAUAAAGAGUAUUUAAAUUGUUUUAACCGAGCAUUUUCCGAAUUUUUGUUUGCACUUUGUUGUUGAAAUUCUUCCUAUAUAAUUCCCCUUCUAUUCAGGCUUUCCUAGUAGUUGCGAUUCUUCCACAUUUAAACCCCUAGCAUCUAUAUAUGGCUAGUAGAAUUUGGCAUCAUAGUAUUAUUUCCUUUAGUCACUUCUUCCCACUCAAUUUUUUUUCCAAGCAUCGAUGAUUCUAUUCCGUUGAGAUAAUGAAUGUGUAAGGAUGUCUCGAUCAAGUUUUUGUAUAAGUUUAUCUAGAACUAUUCCUCUAUGUCUAACCGGAAUUGUUAAGUCCCCUUAUACGGCAUUGUCUUUAUAAUUUCGAGACCUAGUUAUAUUCGAUCUUAAAAUAAUUCUUAUUUAGAGACUGAUAUUCUCCCUACUACUAAAACUUAUAAUUUACGAAAGUGGUUUGAAAACAAUAUAAACUCUUCCCAUUAUCUAAAAGUUUUAUGUUUUCCAAUUAGUUCCGAGGACGAAACUUAUUUUAAGGGUGGUAUCGUGUAAUAGCCCUAAUUUCCAGCAGCUUUCAAAUUAGUGUUGAGUAUAUUUAUUAGCUUAAAUUCGUUCUUAAAUCACUAAUUCAUAAUUAAUUCGAAAUUAGGAUUUAGGGUUUUGCUAUUCAAAAAUAAUUUGCUUAAUUUCAAGAAGUAAUUAUAGAAUUAUGAUUUCCAUUUUGAAUCGAAUUAACAACUUAUUUGAGUUAUUUAUCUUCUUUUAAAGUUAAUUCGAGAUUUAGGUUCUGGAGUUUUGUUAACUUAGCAAGUGAAUUUAAAUUUUUGAUAUUAUCCUUCAGUUAGUCUUCGAAGUUAGUUUUUGAGAUAUAUUUUCGAAUAAAUUUUCGGAAAUUAUUUUGCCUACAUAUUUUAGAUCUUGUUAUUCUAAAUAAUUUGUUACUCUCAAAGAUUAACUAUGAACUUAAGAUUUCUAUUUUUGAUCUCAUUAGUGAUUAUAUAUUAUUUGUAAUACUAUCUUCCCUAAAUAAUUUUUAUUCUUUUUAACUAUUUAAUUAAGAUUUUAAUUGAAUACUAAUAUUCUAGCUUAUUUACAUUUUAGCUCAAAGUGUAAUUUUAUUAUAGUAUGGUUGUUACUAAUUAAGCCCAAUAUGUCCUAUCCUAUGGCAAUGUGUCAAAUCAAAGGGUUGCCAACCAACUCAUUCUUCCUUUCCCUUGCCAAGUGUUACUUGAGGGAGGUGAAUUAUCAAGUAAAUUUUUGAAAUCAAAUUCCAGGAAUAUUAGGAGACCCUUUGUCCUCUUUCAUUACUCUCUUGGUCUCCCUCUUACCCGAUUCUCUCUCCUCUACCCGAUCUCCCUCUUCGUCUCUACCAGCCACCCACAAUACUGCUGCACCGCCGCACCGCACCACCGUUUCCCCGUCUUCCCUUCUCGCCGGUCGCAGCUGGCGCGGCUUUUGUUACGCAGUACCGGACUGCACUGUUAUCUCUCUGAUCUUUGGUUGGCCUCGUUGUACCGUCGCCGCCAAGAGUGGCCACGGUUCCACCACCAUCUACACUUCCUCUCUAAUUGGUAAUUUCUCUUACCCUUUAUCAAUUAAUUGUUUGAGCUGAAUUAAAACCCCCAAUUUUAACAAACCCUAACUUUUUUAUUUUCUCUCUUUUGUUGGUUGUGCUGCCCUUUCUGGUCGCCGGUGAGACGGUUCCCCGUCGUCGCGUUUUGUCGUUGGUUACCGUUGUCCUCGUUGCUCUGCUCGCUUCCCCUGCUCUCCCUUGCCUUCGUCUCAUCCUCCCUUGUCGGAGCUGCUACUGCUGCGGUGGUUGUUGUUGUUAUUGUUGGCUGCUGCUUCUUGUUGUUGUUGAUGUUGCUACUCAACUUCCUCUUGUGGUGAAUUAUUGGAGGAUGAUUAAGGGGAUUAAAUUGUGGAGUUAAGCGGAGAUUGAUGAUCGAAUAUAUAACUAUGGGAAUUUAUGUGUUAGAGAUUACAGGCGGAUCCGAACGUGCUGUGGACUAUCUAUGGAGGGACGACAUUUGGAGUCCUAAACUUGUUCUUGCUCGGUUCGGGAGCAGCUAGGGAAGGCACGCGUCACAUCAGUACUGCAUCUCCAACCUACAACCCGGACAUUCAUUUCAUAUCCCAGCAAUUCGAAGCUCCUGAAUCAGGUAAAAAUCUCAAAAACGUAAUUCCGUUUGUUUCAGAAGAUACUAUCCCCUUCCUUCUAAAUCAUUUCCAACAAUUUUAUGAUGGGUAAUUUUAUGCUGGGCAAAUCAAAUCACAAAAUUCCCAAGAAAAUUGCAGAGAUUUAAACAAUUUACCAAGAAAAGCAACAACAAUAGACUCCAUCACGUCGGCAUUUCGCUUAUUGGGUCUUUCAGUCUUUGAUGCACACCAACUGUUUGUUAUUUUGUCUAACUGAAUUAUUAUUGUUUAAUAAUGGAAUGUCAAACUUUGAAAAAACACUCACCAAUGUUGCGUGGCAAACUUUGUAUCUUUUUCAAUGUCAAAAGUCAGAGCCGUCAAGCUGCAAGAUCUGAGCCCAACAGCCGAUGGAUUUUAUAAUGGGAAGACCAAAGUUUAGGGUGAUGUUUCAAACAUUACAAGUUCUGUCCUUUCAAAGUUCAAAGUUCAUUGCUCAUUCUAAUGGUUUAUGUUCACACCCUUUUGCUCUUUCUUUCCUGGGUUUGGGUCUUUGAUCAAUUUGGUUUAGCUCGAGGCGAUAUUACCACUGCUCGAUUUCUUAGAGACCCCGAAACAUUAGAAUCUAGAGAAGCUAAUUUCAAGUUUGGAUUUUUCAGCCCUGUUAACUCAACGAAUCGCUACGUUGGAAUCUGGUAUAAUAAGGAAGGUGCUGAUCAAUUGGAAGUGGUUUGGGUAGCCAACAGGGAUAACCCACUUAAUGAUUCUUCUGGGGUGAUCAGAAUAUCAGGAAAUGGAAAUCUGCAACUCUUGGAUGGACAAAACAAUAGCAUUUGGUCAACAAACGUGACUGCUAAUAAUGAGGUUAAUUCUAAUUUUGCUCAAAUUUUAGAUACUGGAAACCUUGUUUUACUGUCAAAUGCCAGUGAGAAUACCAUGUGGCAGAGUUUUGACCAUCCUACAAAUUCGUUCUUACUUCGUAUGGUACUCACAUCUGAUGGGAAUGCAAGCACAAAGCCAAUGCUUACAUCGUGGAAGAAUGCUUCAAAUCCAUCAAAUGGACUAUUUACUGCUGGUAUUUAUCACCGCAGACUUUCUGAAUUUUUUAUAUGGGAUGGGGAUCGCCCCUAUUGGCGAUCAGGACCUUGGGAUGGUCGUCUGUUUAUGGGGGUACGAGCUAUGUACUAUUCUGCACAGGAUGUUGGAUUUCGUCUUGAAAAUGAGAAUGACGGCACAUUUAGCCUAUCCUUUUCUUCCGCAAGCCAGAGUGUUACUGAACACUAUGUAUUGACUUAUGACGGUAUGCUGACACAAAGAGAAUGGGAAGAUGAUAGAGGGGAUUGGAACGUUGCAUGGCAGUCGUUGCAAUUUGAAUGUGAUGUUUACGGAAAGUGUGGAGAAUUUGGGAGUUGUAAUUCAAAUAAUUCACCAAUUUGUAGUUGCUUGAGGGGAUUUGAACCGAGGAAUAACCAGGAAUGGAGUGCGGGGAAUUGGAGUGAUGGGUGUAUUCGGAGAACACCGUUGUUGCAGUGUGGGACUGUAGGAGGGAGAGAAGAUGGAUUUUUGAGGUUAAGGAAUGUGAAAGUGCCAGAUAACGCUGCGAGGCUGGAGUCAGAUGAUGAAGGGGAUUGCCAGAGACAAUGCCUAGGAAAUUGUUCCUGUUCAGCUUAUACUUAUAAUUUUGGUUUUGGGUGUAUGAUCUGGAGUGAAAACUUGAUUGAUAUACAGGAAUUCGCCUCUGCUGGUGUUGAUCUUUUCACUCGGGUGGCUCAUUCAGAACUAGCAGGUGAAACCAAUAAAUGGAAAGUAACUGUUGCAGUCACAGUGAUUUUGGGUACAGCUGUGUUAGUUGUCUUUCUGUACAGUUUAUGGAGGUGGUUGCAUCGAAGACAUGCAGGCAAGAUAACUCUAAACAAAGAAUCAAAUUGGCAUAAUAACAUGGUUGGUGCUAGGUUAAGUGAUGCUGAAUUCCAGGAUUUACCAUUAAUGAAAUUUGAAAGUUUGGUACUUGCAACGGACAACUUUUCGGAAAGUAAAAAGCUUGGACAAGGUGGUUUUGGUCCUGUAUACAAGGGAACAUUCGAAGAUGGACAAGAGGUAGCUGUAAAAAGACUUUCAAGAGCAUCAGGACAAGGUCAACAAGAAUUUAUGAAUGAAGUGGUUGUUAUCUCUAAACUUCAAAAUAGAAAUCUUGUGAGACUAUUAGGCUGCUGUGUAGAAGGAGAAGAGAAAUUGUUGGUCUAUGAAUACAUGCCAAAUAAGAGCUUGGAUGCACUCCUCUUCGAUCCUUCUAAUCGGGAACAUUUGGACUGGAAGAAGCGCUUUAAUAUCAUCAAGGCGAUAAGCAGAGGGCUGCUUUAUCUUCAUAGGGAUUCUAGAUUGAGAAUUAUCCAUAGAGAUCUUAAAGCAAGCAACAUUUUGUUGGACAAUGAUCUCAAUCCAAAGAUAUCAGACUUUGGCAUGGCAAGAAUUUUUGAAAGCAACCAAGACCAAGGUGACACCAAAAGGAUUGUUGGAACCUAUGGUUAUAUGUCUCCGGAGUAUGCAAUGGAAGGUCGGUUUUCAGAAAAGUCAGAUGUGUAUAGCUUUGGGGUGCUGCUACUUGAGAUUGUUAGUGGAAGAAGGAACAGCAGCUUCAAAGAUGAGGAGUCUAUGAGCCUCUUAGGUCAUGCAUGGAAAUUGUGGAAUGAAGGCGAUAUUUUGUCAUUGAUUGAUCCGGCGGUUUCAGCAUUAGACUUUCAAGCAGAGAUAUUGAGGUGCAUACAAGUAGGACUAUUAUCUGUACAAGAAUUUCCUGAAGAUAGACCAAGCAUUACCACGGUUGUUUCCAUGAUAGAGAGUGAAAUUACAGAUCUUCCUCGUCCAACACAACCUGGGUUUACACAAAGGAGAAUUGCUUCUUGGAAUGGAACACAACAAAAUGGCCGUGAUUGUUAUUCUGUUAACGGUGUUUCAAUAAGUUCUUUAGGUGGUCGAUGACAACAGUUUUGAGCAAGAGUUGCAUCCUGUUGUAUAUAUUCUGAUCGCAUUUCCUGAAUGUGAUCAACUGUAUAAUGCAAUAGUAGUAGUAGCAGUAGCCAGUAGCACAGUACAACCCAGAAUCAAUGGGACUUUUGUUGUUAUCUCCAACUAACAAACUGGAUGUUCAGUCUUUUAAAUCUUAAAAUUAUGGAGCUUCUGAAUCAGAUUUUGUACUGGGAAAAUCGCAAGCGAUGUACGGAGGAUUCAAAUCGGUAAAAUAGGUACAUACUUCUCAUCUAAGGUGAGCGUUUCAUUUGUAUAUUUCUUGUAUGCACACCAACUGUUUGAUAAUUUUCCUCAUUGAGAAAGUGUACACCGCUAGUGUUAGGGCCUAGGAGAUUUUAUGCCAUACAUUGUCAGUCAACGAUAGAAAUCACAAUGAUGCGUUGAAGAAAAGUAGAGAAUAUAAACUAUGCCCUGCAGAAUGUCAAUGUCAGAUCUGACAAGUUGCUCCAAUGCAUUUUGUGUCGGAUUUAAGAUUUUAAGUUUGUUAGGGCAUUAACCCGGGAGGCCGAAUUAUGUAUUAGUGAGAACAGAACAGACGAAUAGAUCAAAGGAGAACUCUAGAACAAUGUGCCUAGGUGGAGGCGUUGAACAUGCAAUGUGGAAGGGACUUUGCCUAAAACUCUGGAAGUCAAGAAGUCAAUUUAUUUAUUUAUUCUUCUAAAUUGCAAAGUUGAUGAAUUUCUUUUGGUUUGGUCACAGACUCACAUGCACUACCAGAUACUAUGCUAGAUUCAGAGAUUCACCCUUGAAUAACAUGGACUUUUGUUAAGGGAAGACUUAAGCAAAAUAAUACUUAAGCAGAGCUUCUUGUUUUUCAAUUUACUCAAAGUGCAUUACUCCUACUGGACAUCAUGUCUUAUUUUCACAUCCUUGUUCUCUAUGUUUCCUGCUUUUUGAUCAUUCAGUUCGUUUCAGCUCGAGUAGAUAUUACAACCACUGAAUAUCUUAGACUCAGAAGCAUUAGAGUCUAGUAAUGCCUUUUUUAAGUUUGGUUUUUUCAGCCCCAUUAACUCAACAAAUCGCUACGUUGGAAUCUGGUAUAAUAACGAAG